rnacentral:rRNA from 1 species
AUGAGAGUUUGAUCCUGGCUCAGGAUGAACGCUGGCGGCGUGGAUAAGGCAUGCAAGUCGAGAGGGUUUAGACCCUCGGCGAACUGGUUAGUAAUACAUAGGAACGUACCUCAAAGUCAGGGAUAACCCAGAGAAAUCUGGGAUAAUACCUGAUAGUCUCUUCGGAGUAAAGAUUUAUCGCUUUGAGAUCGGCCUAUGUCCUAUCAGCUUGUUGGUGAGGUAAUGGCUCACCAAGGCUAUGACGGGUAGGGGACGUGAGAGCGUGACCCCCAACAUUGGCACUGAGACACUGGCCAAACACCUACGGGUGGCUGCAGUCGAGAAUAUUCGACAAUGCACGAAAGUGUGAUCGAGCGACGCCGCGUGCGGGAUGAAGGCCUUCGGGUUGUAAACCGCUUUUAUAAGGGAAGAAUUUAGAUGACUGUACCUUAUGAAUAAGGAGUUGCUAACUACGUGCCAGCAGCAGCGGUAAUACGUAGACUCCAAGCGUUAUCCGGAUUUAUUGGGCGUAAAGGGUGUGUAGGCGGAUAUAAUAGUCAGGUGUUAAAUCGCAGAGCUCAACUCUGCGGCCGCACUUGAAACGUUAUAUCUAGAAAUAAGUAGAGGUUAGCGGAACUCAUAGUGUAGCAGUGAAAUGCGUUGAUAUUAUGGGGAACACCAAAGGCGAAGGCAGCUAACUGGGCUUUAUUUGACGCUGAGGCACGAAAGCGUGGGUAGCGAAUGGGAUUAGAUACCCCAGUAGUCCACGCCCUAAACGAUGUACACUAAUCAUUGGGAGUUUCGACCCUCUCAGUGUUGUAGCUAACGCGUUAAGUGUACCGCCUGGGAAGUACGAGCGCAAGCUUAAAACUCAAAGGAAUAGACGGGGAUCCGCACAAGCGGUGGAGCAUGUGGUUUAAUUCGACAAUAAGCGAGGAACCUCACCAGGGCUAGACAUUCAGCUGCAUAUCUUUGGAAACAUUGAUAGCCUUCGAGGGUGCUGAACAGGUGUUGCAUGGUUGUCGUCAGCUCGUGCCGUAAGGUGUUCCAUUAAGUUGGGUAACGAGCGCAACCCCUACUGUGUGUUACAAGUGUCACACGGAACUGCCCCGCACUGAGUACAUUUUUUCAAAAAGUGUAUUUUGUGUGGGGAGGAAGGUGGGGAUGACGUCAAAUCAGCAUGGCCCUAGACGCCCUGGGCGACACACGUGCUACAAUGGCCGGUACAACGGGUUGCGAGAUCGCGAGAUCAAGCCAAUCCCUUAAAGCCGGUCCCAGUUCGGAUUGGAGUCUGCAACUCGACUCCAUGAAGUUGGAAUCGCUAGUAAUCCCGCAUCAGCCAUGGCGGGGUGAAUACGUUCCCGGAUCUUGUACUCA